CCUACGGGAGGCCGCAGUGGGGAAUAUUGGGCAAUGGAGGCAACUCUUACCCAGCAAUGCCGCGUGAAUGAAGAAGGUCUUCGGAUUGUAAAGUUCUUUAAUUGGGGACGAAAAAAAUAACGGUACCCAAGGAAUAAGCCCCGGCUAACUACGUGCCAGCAGCCGCGGUAAUACGUAGGGGGCAUGAGUUGUUCGGAAUGAUUGGGCGUUAAGGGUGUGUAGGCGGUGUAGUCAGUUAGAAGUGAAAGACCUAGAGCUUAACUCAGGUGCGGCGUAUAAAACUGCUAUACUUGAGUGCAGUAGAGGGAAGUGGAAUUACUAGUGUAGCGGUGGAAUGCGUAGAUAUUAGGAGGAACAUCAGUGGCGAAGGCGACUUUCUGGACUGUAACUGACGCUGAGGCACGAAAGUGUGGGGAGCGAACAGGAUUAGAUACCCCAGUAGUC
rnacentral:rRNA from 1 species